CACCGCUAGUCAUUGAAACAGGAAAUUCAACAUUUGAUGAUAUUAAAAAAUUCGUUCCUGUACAAGACUGAUGAAAUAAAAAAAAUUAUUCACUGCUACAUGAGGUGCAAAAAUCCAGUCCAUUUAUAUCCUCUGGUAAGAAUAAUUUAGAGUGUUUCUCAUGUGAAUAGUGGCAGUUUCUGUUCCCCUGAUGCAUAAGAAAUAAUACUUCUUUUAAGAGGUGAUAUGAAGUGCGCUCCAUGCAAUGCUGCAGCUCGUAGUAUAUUUAGGGGUCCAAAAUCGACAGA